GAUACCCUGGUAGUCCAUGCCGUAAACGUUGGGCACUAGGUGUGGGGAACAUUCCACGUUUUCCGCGCCGUAGCUAACGCAUUAAGUGCCCCGCCUGGGGAGUACGGCCGCAAGGCUAAAACUCAAAGGAAUUGACGGGGGCCCGCACAAGCGGCGGAGCAUGCGGAUUAAUUCGAUGCAACGCGAAGAACCUUACCAAGGCUUGACAUACACCGGACCGGGCCAGAGAUGGUCUUUCCCCCUUGUGGGGCUGGUGUACAGGUGGUGCAUGGUUGUCGUCAGCUCGUGUCGUGAGAUGUUGGGUUAAGUCCCGCAACGAGCGCAACCCUCGUUCUAUGUUGCCAGCACGUGAUGGUGGGGACUCAUAGGAGACUGCCGGGGUCAACUCGGAGGAAGGUGGGGAUGACGUCAAAUCAUCAUGCCCCUUAUGUCUUGGGCUUCACGCAUGCUACAAUGGCCAGUACAAUGGGUUGCGAUGCCGCGAGGUGGAGCUAAUCCCAAAAAGCUGGUCUCAGUUCGGAUCGUGGUCUGCAACUCGACCACGUGAAGUCGGAGUCGCUAGUAAUCGCAGAUCAGCAACGCUGCGGUGAAUACGUUCCCGGGCCUUGUACACACCGCCCGUCAAGUCACGAAAGUUGGUAACACCCGAAGCCGGUGGCCUAACCCUUGUGGGGGGAGCCGUCGAAGGUGGGACUGGCGAUUGGGACUAAGU
rnacentral:rRNA from 1 species